GUCAGCAAUUCCUUGACUACGUGAAUGAGAAACUUGCUGAGAUUGAAACUUAUCUUGGCAAUGUUGAGGACCAGGAGAGCCAGAUUGCUGACCUUCAACAAAUGGGCGUGCUUAAGGAUCUCAAGAUAGGAGAUCUUGAGAAGGAACUCCGGGUCAUGAAGGCUGAGGCUGCUCAGAGGUUGAUUGAUAUGGAUAACGAGAAGCAGGAGAUCACCCAAGAUGCCAAGGUCUCGGCGGCGAUUGCUAUGUACAAGAUA
rnacentral:lncRNA from 1 species